CAGUAGCCGCGGGAACACGGAGGGGGCUAGCGUUGUUCGGAAUUACUGGGCGUAAAGCGCACGUAGGCGGCUUGGUAAGUUAGAGGUGAAAGCCCGGAGCUCAACUCCGGAAUUGCCUUUAAGACUGCCGAGCUAGUAGGUGAGAGAGGUAAGUGGAAUUCCGAGUGUAGAGGUGAAAUUCGUAGAUAUUCGGAAGAACACCAGUGGCGAAGGCGGCUUACUGGCUCAUUCUAGACGCUGAGGUGCGAAAGCGUGGGGAGCAAACAGGAUUAGAUACCCCCGUAGUCCCUGUCUCUUAUAC
rnacentral:rRNA from 1 species